UACGUAGGGUGCAAGCGUUGUCCGGAAUUAUUGGGCGUAAAGAGCUCGUAGGCGGUUUGUCGCGUCGGCUGUGAAAGCCUGGAGAUCAACUCCGGGUCUGCAGUCGAUACGGGCAGACUUGAGUGUUGCAGGGGAGACUGGGAUUCCUGGUGUAGCGGUGAAAUGCGCAGAUAUCAGGAGGAACACCGGUGGCGAAGGCGGGUCUCUGGGCAACAACUGACGCUGAGGAGCGAAAGCGUGGGGAGCGAACAGG
rnacentral:rRNA from 1 species